rnacentral:rRNA from 1 species
UCGGGAAUUUUGGGCAAUGGGCGAAAGCCUGACCCAGCAACGCCGCGUGAAGGAUGAAGUAUUUCGGUAUGUAAACUUCGAAAGAAUAGGAAGAAUAAAUGACGGUACUAUUUAUAAGGUCCGGCUAACUACGUGCCAGCAGCCGCGGUAAUACGGAGGGAGCUAGCGUUGUUCGGAAUUACUGGGCGUAAAGCGUACGUAGGCGGUGACUCAAGUCAGAGGUGAAAGCCUGGAGCUCAACUCCAGAACUGCCUUUGAAACUAGGUCGCUAGAAUCACGGAGAGGUGAGUGGAAUUCCGAGUGUAGAGGUGAAAUUCGUAGAUAUUCGGAAGAACACCAGUGGCGAAGGCGGCUCACUGGACGUGUAUUGACGCUGAGGUACGAAAGCGUGGGGAGCAAACAGGAUUAGAUACCCCUGUAGUCCCUGAGCGGGCUGGCAAGGCGCAU